ACCCGAGAUCCUCGGCGCCGCAGUGAGGGGCAGGGCGCACCGGGCAGGGCGCGCGGGGCUGGGCGCACCGCGCGGCCGCCACCCCACCAUGCUCAAGCGCUGCGGCCGCCGCCUGCUGCUGGCGCUGGCGGGCGCGCUGCUCGCCUGCCUGCUGGUGCUCACCGCCGACCCGCCGCCGCCCCCGGUGCCCGCUGAGCGCGGUCGGCGCGCGCUGCGCAGCCUGGCGGGCCCCUCGGGGGUGGCCCCAGCUCCUGGGCUGGAGGCGGCGGCGGCACCCGGGGCGCUAGUCCGCGAGGUGCACAGUCUGUCCGAGUACUUCAGCCUGCUGACCCGCUCUCGUAGAGACGCGGGCCCACCGCCCGGCAGCGUCCCCCGCCCCGCAGCCGGCCAUCCGCGGCCCCCGGCCGAGCCACUCACGCCGCACGACGUCUUCAUCGCGGUCAAGACCACCAAAAAGUUUCACCGCGCGCGCCUCGACUUGCUGCUGGAGACGUGGAUCUCGCGCCACAAGGAGAUGACGUACAUUUUCACGGACGGGGAAGAUGCAGCCCUGGCCAGGCGCACGGGCAACGUGGUCAAUACCAACUGCUCGGCUGCCCACAGCCGCCAGGCGCUGUCCUGCAAGAUGGCCGUGGAGUAUGACCGCUUCAUCGAAUCGGGGAGGAAGUGGUUCUGCCACGUGGACGACGACAACUACGUGAACGUGCGGGCCUUGCUGCGGCUGCUGGCCAGCUACCCGCACACGCAGGACAUCUACCUCGGCAAGCCCAGCCUGGACAGGCCCAUCCAGGCCACGGAGAGGGUCAGCGAGAGCAAGGUGCGUCCCGUCCACUUCUGGUUUGCCACCGGCGGGGCUGGCUUCUGCAUCAGCCGAGGGCUGGCCCUGAAGAUGAGCCCUUGGGCCAGCGGAGGCCACUUCAUGAGCACGGCCGAGCGGAUCCGGCUGCCGGACGACUGCACCAUCGGCUACAUCGUGGAGGCUCUGCUGGGCGUGCCCCUCAUCCGCAGCGGGCUCUUCCACUCCCACCUGGAGAACCUGCAGCAGGUCCCCACCUCCGAGCUCCAUGAGCAGGUGACCUUGAGCUACGGCAUGUUUGAAAACAAGCGGAAUGCUGUCCACAUUAAGGGGCCCUUCUCAGUGGAGGCCGACCCAUCCAGGUUCCGCUCCAUCCACUGCCACCUGUACCCGGACACACCCUGGUGUCCCCACACUGCCAUCUUCUAGCAGCUACGGCUGAAACCCUGUCCCCGGGCACCCCUGGUAUCCAAAGGGCCCGGGGACCCCUGUUGUGCCGCCCUGGCCUUGGCAUUCGAGGCUCCCCCAGGGCUGUGCGUGUGUGUGUACUGUGUGCCCAUCCGUGUAGCAGACUGCUGGGCAGCUCUGCUCUGCCGAGGAGCAGGCACGGCACCGCCCGUCUGUCUUUCCGUGCUCCACCCCAGAAGGAUUUGUAAGUCAGAGGUCACUCUGAGGGCCGGUUUAUUAUUAUUCUGGGGUCUUUGGGCAGCAUGGGGGCCAGAGGCUGCUCUGCAGCGAUGUGCAGGUGCCUUUCCCUUCCCGCUGAGUGCAGGCCCAGCGCUGCGGGCGCCUGCCCCCUGGGAUCCUGGCUCCUCCUCAGAGCCCCCAGGACAACUCACCAUGCUCAGUGCUGCGAGGAAGCUGGGUUUGGGGGGUGUGGCCCGAGUCCCCUCCUCCCACUGAGCUCUGGCCUGGGUACCUGGGUGCCGUGGCUCCAAGUAACAGCAGCCCCCGUGGCCUUGCCGCUGGGUGACGUGCAGCGCCGCCCCGGGCAGGGGUCUUCCCCGCUCUCUUGGCCAUCUUCCCUUUGUGACGGGGAGUCAGCUGAGGCUCUUAUCUCCUCUCCGAAGUAGAGAGAAAGUCGCCCAUAGUGGGUGUGUCUGUAAAUAUUGUGACAGUAUUUUUUACUGUGCUUGUUUUUCGAAAGGGGGUGGGUACAAAGUAGGGUGUUUUUGUCUGUGUUUUCGGGGGGUUGGGGAGGGUGCUAUUUUAUCUUUUCUGUGGAUCAGAAAAAGCAGAAGCCAAACUUGGGAUAAUCUUUGUUGUUAAAGCUGAUGGAAAUGUCCAACACUCUGUGUAUUUAUAUGUCGUGGUAUCUGGCCUCUCCCUGCCCACCUCCUGCAUAGAACCUGCCUCCUACCAGCCCAGCUUGGCGCACCUGACCAGUGAGAUGGGGAGACUGAGGCUCAGAGCAGGUGAUGUGAUUGAUGCCCAAGGUCAGGCAGCUGGGCUGGUGAAGAGCUCAAACUCCGAUAUCAGGCUGACCUUGGAUCCUGGCCUCACCGCCCCCCCGACGCUGUUCACCCUGGACGGGUCCCGGGAGCCUGUUGACCCUGGACGGGUCCCUGCCUUGUUUUCUACAGAAGGCAGCUCCUCUGGCCCUUCCUCAAAUCAAGGCUUUGUGAUGGCAGGAGCGGGGAGGAGCUGCUCCGGCCUCAGCUGGGGAAUCCCCUCCUCCCGCCCUCCCAGGCAGCCUGGGGCAGCCCUCAGUUCCUCUUCCUCAAACUGAGCCCGGACACACCCCCCCUCCCCCCGC